rnacentral:lncRNA from 1 species
CGAGCCUCGGGUUUGCAAUUUCGUCGGCCUUGUACCGGUACAAGAGCCCGUGUACCGGUACAAGGAGGCAGUUUUCGUGCAGUUUGGUCUGCAGGGGGUUUUUCGCGAUUGUGGGCUUCUUAUAACAGCACCCACGCCCCUUAGGGCUUUUUUUGUGCUGGAACCAGAGGAGGAGAAGGUGAGAGGAGCUCCACCUUGCUCCACUUGGAUUUGAUCUCCAUUUUUGAUGGUUUUGGUGGAUUAAUCCUUUUCCUUUUCUCCUUUUUAUGCUUCUCCACCAUUGUUGAUGGCUUAGAGCUUGGAGAGGAGCUUGUGGCUGAGGAGAUCUCCCACCCCACUUGGAUUGGAGCUAAGUUUGGAGCUUCUUGUGAGGUUAGAGACUUGAUUUCUCCCUUUGAUCCUUAAUUUAUUGGAUUUCUUGAGAUGAAACCCUAGAUUGUGAUAUUAGGGUUUAUUUUGGGUAUUUUGAAUCUAAGGCUUUUGAAGCUAGAUUGUGUGGAUUAGAGGCUUCCAUUAGGUUGGAUUGGAUGAGCCCUAGCUUCAUUUUGGAGCUUUAGAGGAGAUUUUGUACUAGAGGUGAGUUUUCCACACCUAUGCUUGAUUAGCUUAAUGUUUGAGCUAGGUGUUGUUCGUUCGGCUCGUAUGACUCAUGUUUUCAUACCUCUAGGAUACUAGGAGACUAGAGUACACCCUCGUUGGAGCGCACGAGGAGUUUCGUUGUCAUCGGUGGGUUUGGCUUCGUGGAAAUGGGGCGAAAUGGCCCCCAUGCUCUUUCUACUUGUUGUAAAUUAUUUUUAAGUUCAUUUCUAUGCUAAAUGGGAAUUAUAUGAAUUUUAGAGCACUUAAAAUGCAUGCCUUGUGUAUUAUGAAAAUUUCUCUAUAUAGUAGAGCUAUAUGAGUAGAAUGCAUGCAUACGGAAGAAGUGUCUAUUUUGCAAGUAAAAAAAUACAUCUCUUAUGAGGAUUAUGACUUGGAACAUGUACUUUGGAACAUAGUUGCCAUGUUUUGACAUAGAGAGCAAGAGUGUCAUAAAGGGGCACUUGAAACUAGUAAACUAUGAAACUGCAAUAUAGAGACAUAUUGAUAGGCCACUACAUAUCUGCUAUAUUCCAUGUUAGAGACAUGAUGACAUAGGGAUAGGCCAUUGAGAUACUUGACACAUUCCAUGUUAUUAGACAUGAGGACUUGGUACUUGCGACGGAUCGUUUGACUACUUGCCAUUGUGCUCAUUCGCACAUGCUUGUGAGGGUCGCUCCCUACAAGCCGGCACUCCGGAGAUGGCCAUCGCGAUUCAUACUCGCCGUGCGGGAUUGGGCGCCGAAGUGGAUUGCCGUGGGCCAGGCUCAUUCCUAGGGUGGGGAUGAUGACUACCACGGGGCCAUUAGGCUCGGCACCGGCCAGACAGCCUACGGGUGGGUCUCAGGGCCAUAGACAGCCUUCGGGUGGGUCUCUCAGAUUGGGCUAUAUAUAUAUCCAUUAUGACAUGUGGACAGAUGAUGACUUAGUGUACUACUUGGACAUUGAUUAGAAUAGUAAACAACGGAACUUCACUAUUUCACAUUGUGAACAUCAUGAUAGUUGGAGACAUUUACUUUAUGCAUAGUUGCUUUCAUACUUAUGCUAUUCAUGCUAAGUAGAGAUAUCAUGUCGUAGUAGGUUACAUAUUUACUUACCUGUCGCCUUUCUACUUCUAUAGUCACUGACAUCUUUUGUAGCUUUGGGCCUUGUGGUGCAUGCACUGAAGUCAGUAAUUGCCCACUGGGAACUAUUUUUAAUAGUUCUCAUGCCCUCGUUUUAUGGUUUACUUUUCAGAGCCUUCGGCACCGGCGGAGGCACGGGAUCGCGGCAAGGGUGUCGCGUAGCUAGCUCGCGGAGAGUUCUUUUGCGAUAGGUGGUUACUCCUCUAUUUCAUAUUUUGUGAGAGAGGGAGUGAUUUUGUACCUUGUAUAGAGAGACCACCUUGUACUCCUUUUAGCACUUGUUAUGGGAUUCCUGUUGUAUUUACCUUAUGUUUUAUUUAGUGGAUUUACAGUUUUAACUUUAUCCCUUGUUGUAGCUUUUAGACAUUUAUAUUGCUCUGAUACUCCUAGAUGUCUUGUAUUAUUGCUUUUAUCAUUGUUGUUUUUAGACGCCUUAUAUGUUGUAGACAUAUGGCGGGUCUGGGCACGUGCCGGGCGGGCUUCCGCUGAGUCCCGGGGCGUGACAGAUUAAUUUGGUAUCAGAGCCUAGGGUUGAGUCUUAGGGGACCUAGCAAACCUUAGGCCGGUUGGACUAUAGGAAAUAGGCUCGUGAGAGACGAGGUCUAUUCGACUUGUAAGCGAAAGUAUCUAGAUUGGGUAUCUUGAAUAACUCUAAAAAGUGGAGUUAAACUGAAGUGUAUGACUCCUAACUUCGCGGAGGGUUACGUUGGCGGCCGACAACGUAACAUCGAGAGUUAGUAGUGAAGAACACUUCUUUACUUUCGCAUGAUUGGGGUUUGUCUUUUGAGUGGGGAUACGAUAGCGUGAGUAUUUCUAACUUGCGCUUUUAUGUUUUGUAGUGACGAUGCCGAUUACUCGCUCCCAAUCUGCCGGGGCGGACAAUGCGGCAAACUUCGAGGAGGUCGAAACCUCCGCUACCUCCGGAUCCAGCGAGGUCCGUGAGUUGAGGGGCCAGCUUGCGGCCCUCACUGACUUGGUCACUCAGCAGGCGGAGGCGGCCCGACAGCAGACUGAGGCGCCGCGCCGACAGGAGGCGCGGAUGAAGCGUCUGGAGGACUUACUGUUGCAGCAGACGGCAGCUUCUAGGGAGACUCAGGGCCCUACACCGCCAGCGCCAGUUGUGGAUGUUGCACCGAGAGCGCCGUCCCCCGCGCCCAGUUCUUCGCGUGCGGCGCCUGCGGCCGUUCCCCAGGAGGAGGUUUUGGUAGCACCGCCUGUACAGAGGCCCCCGGUUGGAGCAGCUUUCCCUACAUUGGUUGAGGGGGCGGAGCGGGAUAGAUUGAUGGAGCGCCUCAAUGAGUUCAGGAGGUGCAGUCCCCGAGUCUUCGAUGGCGAGAAAGUCGACCACUGGAUCGUGGAGAAGUGGUUGAUGCACAUGGAGAAGCUCUUCCGCGACACCUUCGUGGAGGAGAGGGACAGAGUUUGGCUCGCCACUCACCACUUGGACGGCGAAGCCUACCGCUGGUGGUUGGAUUUUCAGGAGCACCCCAGCACUGACUUGGCGGCUAUCACUUGGACGAGGUUCAAGGAGCUUCUUCUGGCGCACUACUUCCCGACCAGCGUCAAGAGGAAGAUGGAACAGGAUUUGCGCAGCUUGCGCCAGGGUGACAGGACCGUAGCUGAGUAUGAGAGGGAGUUUUCUCGGCUUCUGCAUUGCGUGCCCUUCGUCGUGCGGGACGACGAGGACAAGGCCCGCAUCUUCGAGCGAGGGUUGCGACCGUCGAUCUUCCGGUUUGUGCAAUCCUCUAACCUCCAAACCUACCGGGAGGUGGUGGAUCGCGCGCUCAUCGUGGAGAGCGACGCGACAGAGGUCCAGGAGCAGCGUGAGGCUAGGGACAGAGGGAAGGCCAAGAGGCCUGCGGCUGAGGGUGCGAGCCAGACGCACUCUAGGAGGUCGCCGAAGCAUCCGAGGGGCCAGCAGCGUGGGCGCGGCACCAUAGCGUAUCGAGGAGGAUCCGAUCGACGCCGGCCUUCCCCGUGUGUGAUCUGCGGUGGUCCCCAUUACCCACCGCAGUGUCCACAGCGGGCGGGCAGGUGUUUCCAAUGUGGCCAGGAGGGCCACGUGCGUACCGAGUGCCCGAGAGGUUCUUCACCGGCACCAUCGACUGCAUCGGCACCGGCUCUACCAGCCGCUAGCCAGGGGACUCCGUCGGCACAGUACCAGCCUGGGCGGCCACCCGUCCAGCGCCAGAGCGAGGGAUCUCGACAGGCCCCGAGUGGGCGUAUGUAUGCCGCUCAGACUGAGGAGGCGGUAGCAGCCGAGGAUGUGGUUGCAGGUAUCAUUUUACUUGAGGGCAUUAGAGUUCGUGCUUUAUUUGAUACUGGUGCAUCGCAUUCAUUUAUAGAUCGGCUGUUUGCCGAGUUGCAUGGCAUCCCGUUGGUUUCCUUGUUGCAUACGGGACAUGUAGUUGUACCUGACCACAUUUUGGAUAUUAGAGAGUAUAGCCCCAGUUGCCCUAUUCGGGUAGGAGAUUGGAUCAUGCCUAUAGAUCUGCUAGCUUUGCGCAAGCUGGGGGAUUUUGAUGUGGUCUUGGGCAUGGAUUGGUUGACCAAGUAUUAUGCCACGAUUGAUUGCAAGAAUCGCACGGUUACUUUUAGAGAACCGGGGCAGGCUGAGGUGGUAUUUAGUGGAUGCCGGAGUUCGCUGUUUGCGAUGACGAUCAGCUCGUCUCGAGCUAGGCAGCUGAUCAGCAGAGGUUGCGUAGCCUAUUUGGCUAGUGUGGUGCUGAGGGGCGAGGGUGACACCCUUAGGAUCGAGGAUAUUCCGGUGGUGCGGGAGUUCCAGGAUGUGUUUCCAGCUGAGCUACCGGGUAUGCCUCCUGAUAGGGAGAUUGAGUUUGUGGUAGAUCUCGUCCCUGGGACUACCCCAAUCUCAAAGGCACCCUAUAGGAUGGCACCGGCAGAGCUGAGGGAGCUGAGGGCACAGCUGCAGGAUUUGUUGGACAAAGGCUUCAUUCGCCCGAGUGUUGCACCUUGGGGAGCACCCGUUUUGUUCGUCAAGAAGAAGGACGGAUCACUUCGCCUUUGCGUGGAUUAUCGUGAGCUCAACAAAGUCACGAUCAAGAACAAGUAUCCGUUGCCGAGGAUCGACGACUUGUUUGAUCAGCUUCAGGGAUCAUGUGUGUAUUCCAAGAUCGACUUGCAGUCGGGGUACCACCAGCUGAAGAUUAAGCCCGAGGAUGUGUCGAAGACGGCUUUUAGAACACGGUAUGGACAUUAUGAGUUCACAGUUAUGCCGUUUGGGCUUACUAAUGCCCCGGCAGCUUUUAUGGAUCUGAUGAACCGUGUUUUCAAGCCUUAUCUAGACAGGUUCGUCGUGGUGUUCAUCGACGACAUUUUGGUCUACUCUCGGGGUGAUGCGGAUCACGAGGAACAUUUGAGGAUUGUACUCCAAGUACUUCGGGAGAAGGAGCUUUAUGCCAAGUUGAAGAAAUGUGAAUUUUGGCUUCGAGAGGUGGCCUUCCUUGGACACUUGAUUUCAGGAUCAGGUAUAGCAGUGGAUCCCAAAAAGAUUGAAGCAAUCAAGGAUUGGCCGAGACCGACGAGCGUCACGGAGAUACGGAGUUUUCUUGGAUUGGCCGGUUACUACCGAAGAUUUGUCGAAGGAUUUGCUAGGCUAUCUACUCCCCUCACGAGGCUCACGCAUAAAGGUGUUAAGUUCAUUUGGAAUGAUGCGUGCGAGAGAAGCUUCCAAGAGUUGAAGCAACGAUUGACUACCGCCCCGAUCUUGACCCUACCAGUAGCUGGAGCCGGGUAUGUGGUUUAUAGUGAUGCUUCACUUAAUGGUUUGGGCUGUGUAUUGAUGCAGGAUGGCAAGGUGAUCGCGUAUGCUUCUCGCCAACUAAAGGAAUAUGAGAAGAACUACCCGACGCAUGAUUUGGAGUUGGCGGCUGUAGUGUUCGCCUUGAAGCUAUGGCGCCACUAUCUUUAUGGCGAGCGAUGUGAAGUAUACACGGAUCACAAGAGCUUAAAGUACCUAUUUACUCAGAAGGAGUUGAACUUGAGGCAGCGCAGAUGGUUGGAGCUACUUAAGGAUUAUGAUCUGACGAUUCUUUACCAUCCGGGCAAGGCUAACGUGGUGGCGGAUGCGCUAAGUAGGAAAUCGAUGGAAAACUUAGCGAUGCACGUCGUGACGCAACCGCAGUUGAUCGAGCAGAUGAAGCGGUUGGAGUUGGAGAUAGUGACUCCUGACACACCCUUGAGAUUGAUGGCGUUGGUAGUGCAACCUACUCUUUUGGAUAGAAUUAAAGAAAAGCAAGCUUCCGAUGUGGAGUUGCAAAAGAUUAGAGGAAAAAUGGUUGAUGGUUGCACCGGCGAUUUCCUUGUGGACGACCGAGGGUUGAUGCGCUUUCGAGGACGACUAUGUGUUCCGGCGGAUUCGGGAAUUAAAGAAGAUAUUCUUCAGGAAGCGCACCGGGCGCCCUAUGCUAUACAUCCGGGAGGCACCAAAAUGUAUAAGGACUUAAAGUUGCUCUAUUGGUGGCCUGGGAUGAAAAAGGAUGUUGGCGAGUUUGUUGCUAGAUGCUUAACUUGCCAACAAGUGAAGGCAGAGCACCAAGUUCCCGCGGGGAAGCUUCAGAGUUUGCCUAUUCCAGUGUGGAAGUGGGAGAAGAUCACUAUGGACUUUGUGACAGGAUUGCCACGCUCACAGGCGGGGCAUGACGCUAUUUGGGGGAUCGUGGAUAGGUUGACGAAGUCGGCGCACUUCAUACCUAUUCAUACGACCUGGACCGGAGAGAGGCUCGCACAAGUGUACCUAGAUGAGAUUGUGCGACUUCAUGGAGUGCCUACAUCGAUUGUAUCUGAUCGCGACACGCGCUUCGUGUCUCACUUUUGGAGGAGUCUACAGGACGCCUUAGGCACCCGGCUGGAUUUCAGUACAGCAUUCCACCCGCAGAGUGAUGGACAGUCGGAGCGCACUAUUCAGACCUUAGAGGAUAUGCUUCGGGCAUGUGUGAUAGACUUCCAGGGGGGAUGGUCGCAGCAUCUACCUAUGGCGGAGUUUGCUUAUAACAACAGUUAUCAAGCAAGCAUCAAGAUGGCGCCCUUCGAAGCACUUUAUGGACGGAAGUGUAGAUCACCACUUCAUUGGAGUGAAGUUGGCGAGAGUUUGGCUCUAGGCCCUGAUGUGCUCCAGGAAGCUGAGGACAAGGUUCGAAUUGCUCGGGAGCGACUUUUGGCGGCGCAGAGUAGACAGAGGAGCUACGCCGAUCGACGACGGCGAGAUUUGGAGUUCCAAGUUGGAGACCAUGUUUUCUUGAAGGUCUCGCCGACUAGAGGAAUCAAGAGAUUCGGGAUUCGGGAAAAGUUGAGCCCCCGUUUUAUUGGACCGUAUGAGAUCUUGGAGCGUGUAGGUCCGGUAGCGUAUCGACUUGCUCUACCACCGAACCUAUCGGGCGUACACAACGUCUUUCAUGUAUCGGUCCUUCGGAGGUACAUUCAUGAUCCAGCUCAUAUUUUGGAAGCUGUACCAGUGGAGCUGCGUGAGGAUUUGAGCUUCGAGGAGCAACCAGUGAAGAUUUUGGCUCGCGAGGUGAAGAAGCUACGGAAUCGGGAUAUUCCGUAUGUGAAGGUCCUUUGGAGCAACCACGCGGAGCGCGAGGCCACGUGGGAGCUAGAGAGUGCGCUACAGGAGCGCUAUCCCCAUCUUUUUUCAGAUGGAGCCUUGAGGUAUGCUUUUGCUUUGAGUUUCGCGGACGAAACUCCGUUUAGGAGGGGUGAAUGUAAUACACUGGAUCUUAGCAAAUUGCAAGAUUCGAGUGUUUGAUCUCUGUGUGGAGCCUUUCCACAGUGCUUGGAGGGUCGUUGAUAGUGUUCCGACCCCUGGCACGCGUCCCGAGGGUGUUGGUUUGAGACUUGGCGCCAAAAUCCCAAAAUUGGAAUUUUUGGUCAGCCCUCGGAUGGCCUGCAGCAGGGCUUGUACCGGAACAGACUGGUCUUGUACCGGUACAAGGGUUGAUGGUUGUACCGGUACAGCCAUCGGGCUUGUACCGGUACAGAGCCGCAGACCGCGCGACCCGAGCCUCGGGUUUGCAAUUUCGUCGGCCUUGUACCGGUACAAGAGCCCGUGUACCGGUACAAGGAGGCAGUUUUCGUACAGUUUGGUCUGCAGGGGAUUUUUCGCGAUUGUGGGCUUCUUAUAACAGCACCCACGCCCCUUAGGGCUUUUUUUGUGCUGGAACUAGAGGAGGAGAAGGUGAGAGGAGCUCCACCUUGCUCCACUUGGAUUUGAUCUCCAUUUUUGAUGGUUUUGGUGGAUUAAUCCUUUUCCUUUUCUCCUUUUUAUGCUUCUCCACCAUUGUUGAUGGCUUAGAGCUUGGAGAGGAGCUUGUGGCUGAGGAGAUCUCCCACCCCACUUGGAUUGGA